UGUAGGGGUAAAAUCCGUAGAUAUCACCAAGAAUACCCAUUGCGAAGGCGAUCUGCUGGAACUCAACUGACGCUAAGGCGCGAAAGCGUGGGGAGCAAACAGGAUUAGAUACCCUGGUAGUCCACGCCCUAAACGAUGUACACUAGUUGUUGGGGUGCUAGUCAUCUCAGUAAUGCAGCUAACGCAUUAAGUGUACCGCCUGGGGAGUACGGUCGCAAGAUUAAAACUCAAAGGAAUAGACGGGGACCCGCACAAGCGGUGGAGCAUGUGGUUUAAUUCGAGGAUACGCGAAGAACCUUACCUGGGCUUGAUAUCCUAAGAACCUUUUAGAGAUAAGAGGGUGCUAGCUUGCUAGAACUUAGAGACAGGUGCUGCACGGCUGUCGUCAGCUCGUGUCGUGAGAUGUUGGGUUAAGUCCCGCAACGAGCGCAACCCACGUAUUUAGUUGCUAACGGUUCGGCCGAGCACUCUAAAUAGACUGCCUUCGUAAGGAGGAGGAAGGUGUGGACGACGUCAAGUCAUCAUGGCCCUUAUGCCCAGGGCGACACACGUGCUACAAUGGCAUAUACAAUGAGACGCAAUACCGCGAGGUGGAGCAAAUCUAUAAAAUAUGUCCCAGUUCGGAUUGUUCUCUGCAACUCGAGAGCAUGAAGCCGGAAUCGCUAGUAAUCGUAGAUCAGCCAUGCUACGGUGAAUACGUUCCCGGGUCUUGUACUCACCGCCCGUCACACCAUGGGAGUUGAUUUCACUCGAAGCCGGAAUACUAAACUAGUUACCGUCCACAGUGGAAUCAGCGACUGGGGUGAAGUCGUAACAAGGUAACCGUAGGAGAACCUGCGGUUGGAUCACCUCCUUUCUA
rnacentral:rRNA from 1 species